AAUCAGAGAAAGAACCCCUCAAACCUCAAGAAAGAGAGAGAAAGUGGGUUUCUUUGUUUGGUUUUUCACUUCUUCUUCUUCUUCUUCUUCUUCUUCUUCU
rnacentral:ribozyme from 1 species